rnacentral:lncRNA from 1 species
CAGCAAGAAAGAGCCAUCCGUGGGGGAGCAGGUCCUCACCAGCCACCAAAUCUGCUGGCAUCUUGAUCUUGGACUUCCAGCCUCCAGAAAUGUGAGAAAUAAACUUCUGUUGUUUAUAAGCGACACGGUUUGUGGUAUUUUGAUACUGGUAUCAUUGAUAGUAUUUAUUAUUUUGUAGCCUGAACAGACUUAAGAGGAGAGGAGUAAGGAAGGUGGCCCUGGGAUCAAGGACAGCGGGUGGAGAGGAAGGAGGGCCCUUCUGCAGAGGAUUUGACCAUGCAGAGGCCCAGGCUUUGUGCUGGAGGACGUGCUCAUUUCAUUGUCAACGGUUAGGUGGCUCUCAGUGAACCACAGCAGAAGGCCAGGACGGAAACCAAGACACCCACCCCAACAGUUAGGCCCUCCUCCACAACCACUUCCCUUCUGUGUGUGGAUGUGGUGGGCUGGGUGGGCAAUAUAAGCUUCACCUGGCUCCCUCCACACUCCAGGGCCCCGAGAGAAAGGCCAUCCCUGAACAUUUGGCUUCUGCCUCUGGGCUCACCCGCCUUCAGUUCCAUGGGAGGCUUUGAGGGUCAUCUGUACGCAGGGCUGUCUCUGUUCCUCUAUGGACUUUACCAGGCGCAGCUCGUCUCUAGGGCCUUGAUCUGCAACUCCCGUGUCCAAUAUCCACCAUGUCGUCCUUGGGACAAAGGAAGAUGGGCAAAGCUACGGCAGAUAUAUUACAUUGGCCCGAUGAAGAUCCUAAGUGCCUUCAUUUUAGUAGCCCAAGAGUUGAACAGCGUUCAUGGACAGCUGGUUCUUAUCAGCAAGAUGUAUCACCAGAGAGACUUUAUGUACCGCAAACAGUGGCAGCAUCUCACUCUCUAUUUGACCUUCUUCCUGACGGGGUGUGCAGAUAUGGUGAGCCAGAACCUGAUGCCCCAGAGGUGUGUGGCUCUGGAGCAAGGCACCCAAGCCCUGGGCAUAUUUCUGUUUCUGCCCCUGAUGGUGUCUCACAUGCAGGACACAGAAGGAGUAGAACUGCAGUUUCACAUCCUGCUCACCCAGGCCAUGUUCCUGCUAACGGUGGUAGUGACUGCAGAGCUCUGGGCUCCCAAUGCCAUGCUGAUAUGGACAAUGAAGGCCUUUUUGUACAUGAUCACAGGCUCUUGGUUGGUACAGAUAGGCUUUAUGUUGUUCAAGCCAGUCUCUGGCUAUAAAUGGAUGGAUGAUGACAAAAAUGACAUAAUGUUUGCCACCACUUUCUUCUGCUGGCAUGUGGUCUUCAAUGCCAGUUUGAUGAUCUGGAUCUAUGGCUUCUCUUUUUUGUGGUAUUGCUACAUUCUUAUUAAAGACAGAACCUGGAUGCGCCCCCUGGUGGUGCCCUGUGGCCUUCACACUCCAAGAUGUCUGGAUGAGAAGUUGUGAGAGGUGGGCGGCCAGGAAAGCAGAAUCUGGUGUCCUUCCUUCAUGGGGGUCCUACCUUGAAGCCGCAGACUCUGCUGGAAUGGACGUGCACCCUCUCCCUUCUGGCUUCCCUCAGCCUUAUUUGAACAGUGCAUAGAGGAAAGGUGAACGGAAUAAGAGUCCUGCCACUAAGACCUCCCCUCUCAACUCCCCAAGCGUUUCCCUCCUCAGCUCCUGCUGCGGUACCUGCUUGCCCUGCACCUCUCUGUAUCGCCCACUCCCCUCCCAUGAGAACAUUAAAGAAAUUUUCUAUGUCCUGCUUGUGAAACUUUUUACAAAUAUCCCUCACUCCACCACAUGGAAUAUCCACCACAGUCAAAUUUAGUACAUAAUAAUAAUUUA